UACGUAGGGUGCAAGCGUUGUCCGGAAUUAUUGGGCGUAAAGAGCUCGUAGGCGGUUUGUCGCGUCUGCUGUGAAAACUCGGGGCUUAACUCCGGGCCUGCAGUGGGUACGGGCAGACUAGAGUGCGGUAGGGGAGACUGGAAUUCCUGGUGUAGCGGUGAAAUGCGCAGAUAUCAGGAGGAACACCGGUGGCGAAGGCGGGUCUCUGGGCCGUAACUGACGCUGAGGCGCGAAAGCGUGGGGAGCGAACAGG
rnacentral:rRNA from 1 species